rnacentral:rRNA from 1 species
UACGUAGGGUGCGAGCGUUGUCCGGAAUUACUGGGCGUAAAGAGCUCGUAGGUGGUUUGUCGCGUUGUUCGUGAAAACUCACAGCUUAACUGUGGGCGUGCGGGCGAUACGGGCAGACUGGAGUACUGCAGGGGAGACUGGAAUUCCUGGUGUAGCGGUGGAAUGCGCAGAUAUCAGGAGGAACACCGGUGGCGAAGGCGGGUCUCUGGGCCUGACCUGACGCUGAGGAGCGAAAGCCGUGGGGAGCGAACAGG